rnacentral:rRNA from 1 species
AAUGAACGCUGGCGGCGCGCCUAAUACAUGCAAGUCGAGCGAGAAGACGUAGCAAUACGUUUGUAAAGCGGCGAACGGGUGAGGAAUACAUGGGUAACCUACCCUUGAGUGGGGAAUAACUAGCCGAAAGGUUAGCUAAUACCGCGUACGCUUCUUGGACUUCGGUUCAGGGAGGAAAGCGAUGCCGAGGGUAUCGCGCUCUUGGAUGGGCUCAUGUCCUAUCAGCUUGNGGUUGAGGUAACGGCUCACCAAGGCUUCGACGGGUAGCUGGUCUGAGAGGACGAUCAGCCACACUGGCACUGCGACACGGGCCAGACUCCUACGGGAGGCAGCAGUAAGGAAUAUUGCGCAAUGGGCGAAAGCCUGACGCAGCGACGCCGC